rnacentral:rRNA from 1 species
UACAGAGGGUGCGAGCGUUUGUUCGGAAUUAUUGGGCGUAAAGCGCUUGUAGGCGGCACGUCAAGUCGCGUGUGAAAUCCCCAGGCUUAACCUGGGAAGUGCGCGCGAAACUGACGAGCUUGAGUGCCGGAGAGGGUCGCGGAAUUCCCGGUGUAGAGGUGAAAUUCGUAGAUAGUCGGGAGGAACACCAGUGGCGAAGGCGGCUCACUGGCCCGAUACUGACGCUGAGGCACGAAAGCGUGGGGGAGCAAACAGG